rnacentral:rRNA from 1 species
ACUGAUUGAGAUUUUAACACGAAGUGAGUGGCGAACGGGUGAGUAACACGUGGGUAACCUGCCCAGAAGUAGGGGAUAACACCUGGAAACAGAUGCUAAUACCGUAUAACAGAGAAAACCGCAUGGUUUUCUUUUAAAAGAUGGCUCUGCUAUCACUUCUGGAUGGACCCGCGGCGUAUUAGCUAGUUGGUGAGGUAAAGGCUCACCAAGGCAGUGAUACGUAGCCGACCUGAGAGGGUAAUCGGCCACAUUGGGACUGAGACACGGCCCAGACUCCUACGGGAGGCAGCAGUAGGGAAUCUUCCACAAUGGACGCAAGUCUGAUGGAGCAACGCCGCGUGAGUGAAGAAGGGUUUCGGCUCGUAAAGCUCUGUUGUUAAAGAAGAACGUGGGUAAGAGUAACUGUUUACCCAGUGACGGUAUUUAACCAGAAAGCCACGGCUAACUACGUGCCAGCAGCCGCGGUAAUACGUAGGUGGCAAGCGUUAUCCGGAUUUAUUGGGCGUAAAGCGAGCGCAGGCGGUCUUUUAAGUCUAAUGUGAAAGCCUUCGGCUCAACCGAA